UACGAAGGUGGCAAGCGUUGUUCGGAUUUACUGGGCGUACAGGGAGCGUAGGCGGUUGGAUAAGCCCUCCGUGAAAUCUCCAGGCUUAACCUGGAAAGUGCAGAGGGGACUGUUCAGCUAGAGGAUGGGAGAGGAGCGCGGAAUUCCCGGUGUAGCGGUGAAAUGCGUAGAGAUCGGGAGGAACACCAGAGGCGAAGGCGGCGACCUGGAUAGGCACUGACACUCAACUGCGAAAGCGUGGGGAGCAAACAGG
rnacentral:rRNA from 1 species